rnacentral:lncRNA from 1 species
CCUUUUUGCCUCUGUAGUAUCAGGGAAAUAUCUUCCUCUUUCUUUUUAUGGACCCUCCGGGGGUUGUUCUCAUAAUUUCCAGAUUCGAUGUGAUCCGCAACAGCUUUGAGUGCAGCUAGGUCUUGAAUCUUUCCUGACUUUAAUCCCAUCUCAGCCAUCUCCCCAUGCUUGACCAUUUCAGAAAAUGGUUUGCCGAUGCCGGCUAAAACCCUCUCAUAGAAGGGAGCCUCUUGUAUGUCUAUGAAAGUCAUGACCAUUUCUGAUUCUGUCAUAGAAGGACUAACUUGGG